rnacentral:rRNA from 1 species
UACGAAGGGGGCUAGCGUUGUUCGGAAUUACUGGGCGUAAAGCGCACGUAGGCGGAUACUUAAGUCGGGGGUGAAAUCCCGGGGCUCAACCCCGGAACUGCCUUUGAUACUGGGUAUCUCGAGUCCGGAAGAGGUGAGUGGAAUUCCGAGUGUAGAGGUGAAAUUCGUAGAUAUUCGGAGGAACACCAGUGGCGAAGGCGGCCCACUGGUCCGGUACUGACGCUGAGGUGCGAAAGCGUGGGGAGCAAACAGG